rnacentral:rRNA from 1 species
GAUGAACGCUGGCGGCGUGCCUAAUACAUGCAAGUCGAGCGAAUGGAUUAAGAGCUUGCUCUUAUGAAGUUAGCGGCGGACGGGUGAGUAACACGUGGGUAACCUGCCCAUAAGACUGGGAUAACUCCGGGAAACCGGGGCUAAUACCGGAUAACAUUUUGAACCGCAUGGUUCGAAAUUGAAAGGCGGCUUCGGCUGUCACUUAUGGAUGGACCCGCGUCGCAUUAGCUAGUUGGUGAGGUAACGGCUCACCAAGGCAACGAUGCGUAGCCGACCUGAGAGGGUGAUCGGCCACACUGGGACUGAGACACGGCCCAGACUCCUACGGGAGGCAGCAGUAGGGAAUCUUCCGCAAUGGACGAAAGUCUGACGGAGCAACGCCGCGUGAGUGAUGAAGGCUUUCGGGUCGUAAAACUCUGCUGUUAGGGAAGAACAAGUGCUAGUUGAAUAAGCUGGCACCUUGACGGUACCUAACUAGAAAGCCACGGCUAACUACGUGCCAGCAGCCGCCGUAA